UCACAUUGAAACAUUUACGACUGCAUCAACAAGAGAGAUAAAAUAAAAAAAAAAGGAUGCCAAAACAGCUAUAUUUAUUAUCUAAAAGAAGAAGAUUUCAGUUAAUUAACAAUGAACUGGCACAUCAUAGUAGUUCCUUCCUGUCUAGAAAAGUAGAAUCAGUAAAA